rnacentral:rRNA from 1 species
GGAUUAGAUACCCUGGUAGUCCACGCCGUAAACGAUGACGACUAGCUAUCGGGGCUCUUAGAGCUUCGGUGGCGCAGCUAACGCAUUAAGUCGUCCGCCUGGGGAGUAUGGCCGCAAGGUUAAAACUCAAAGGAAUUGACGGGGGCAUGCACAAGCGGUGGAGCAUGUGGUUUAAUUCGAAGCAACGCGCAGAACCUUACCAGCGUUUGACAUGGUAGGACGACUUCCAGAGAUGGAUUUCUCCCUUCGGGGCCUACACACAGGUGCUGCAUGGCUGUCGUCAGCUCGUGUCG